rnacentral:rRNA from 1 species
UUUCGAAUCAUUCACAAUGGGCGAAAGCCUGAUGGUGCGACGCCGCGUGAGGGAUGAAGGUCUUCGGAUUGUAAACCUCUGUCACCGGGGAAGAAACGCUUCAAGUUAAUAGCUUGAAGCCUGACUUAACCCGGAGAGGAAGCAGUGGCUAACUCUGUGCCAGCAGCCGCGGUAAUACAGAGACUGCAAGCGUUAUUCGGAUUCACUGGGCGUAAAGGGUGCGCAGGUGGCCAAGUGUGUGAGGCGUGAAAGCCCGGGGCUUAACCCCGGAAUUGCACCUCAAACUACUUGGCUAGAGCAUUGGAGAGGGGAGCAGAAUUCAUGGUGUAGCAGUGAAAUGCGUAGAUAUCAUGAGGAAUACCAGAGGCGAAGGCGGCUCCCUGGACAAUUGCUGACACUCAGGCACGAAAGCGUGGGGAGCAAAAGGG